rnacentral:lncRNA from 1 species
GUUGAUUUCUCUGGCUUGACUUCAUCGCUUCCAAUGCACCACAAGCUCCCUCUUUAAGUAGUUCCAGUUCACCAUCAUGUAAGUUAUAGAAUAUGUUUACAAUUAUAAAAAAAUUAGGAAAUCUGUGAAUCAAGUUACACAGAAAAUUGACUCUUAGGGAAAAAAGAGAUGUGCUUUUAAUUAAAAAAAUCAUUUUUCUAAUUAAAUGAGGGUUAGCUGGAAUACCUUAACCACCUCUAACACUGGUGCUUGUUGCUUAUCUACUGACCUCCCUGUGCAGAUAUAUAGAUGUGCUACUGGAUUUACUUGGGCUGCUUCUUCCCUAGAAACAAGACAGCCCUUCAAUCUGAAAAAGAAGGGGAGAUAGAUUUGUAGUGUUAUAAAUUGUGAUGGUCUGUGACAUCCCACUGAUUGCUUAUUUGAUAAUCUUCAUUCUGACAUAUCAAGCAGCGCUGAAGUGGCCUUUGGAGAUCUCUGGAAAGCUGCACUGGACAACACUUUACUGAAGAAGAAUAACCAUAUCUGCCGUUAUUUUCCAGCAGGAUUCAUUUUGUUGAAGACACAAAACAAAAGCCUUUCUGUCACUGGAUUUGCUGAGUGUGCUCCAAGGGACUGCAGCAGUGCUUUGCUGCUAGCUCUUGUCCUGCUUCCCGGAGAGCCAUUGUGCUGCACUGUGAGCAGGCAGGAUACUCGCCCCAGAGUGAGCUGUGAUGGAGGGACUGACACUGAAACUGCUGGAGAGGUUGAGAAGAAUCCCAGCCUUACAAAGAGUUAUGGAUCAGAUAACUCAGAAUCCCCUUUAGCCUAG